GAUCUACUCCCUCCGUUCCAAAUUACUCGUCGCAGAAAUGGAUGUAUCUAGACCUAAAAUACAUCUAGAUACAUCUAUAUCUGUGACAAGUAAUUCGGAACGGAGGGAGUACAUG
rnacentral:pre_miRNA from 1 species